rnacentral:rRNA from 1 species
UACGUAGGGUGCAAGCGUUGUCCGGAAUUAUUGGGCGUAAAGGGCUCGUAGGCGGUUUGUCGCGUCGGGAGUGAAAACUCAGGGCUUAACCCUGAGCCUGCUUCCGAUACGGGCAGACUAGAGGUAUGCAGGGGAGAAUGGAAUUCCUGGUGUAGCGGUGAAAUGCGCAGAUAUCAGGAGGAACACCGGUGGCGAAGGCGGUUCUCUGAGCCGAUACUGACGCUGAGGAGCGAAAGCGUGGGAGCGAACAGG